UCCUACGGGGGGCAGCAGUGAGGAAUAUUGGUCAAUGGUCGGGAGACUGAACCAGCCAAGCCGCGUGAGGGAUGAAGGUACAGAGUAUCGUAAACCUCUUUUGUCAGGGAACAAAGGCGGGGACGUGUCCCCGGAUGAGUGUACCUGAAGAAAAAGCAUCGGCUAACUCUGUGCCAGCAGCCGCGGUAAUACGGAGGAUGCGAGCGUUAUCCGGAUUUAUUGGGUUUAAAGGGUGCGCAGGCGGCACGGCAAGCCGGCGGUCAAAUCGCGGGGCUCAACCCCGCCCAGCCGUCGGAACUGCCGGG
rnacentral:rRNA from 1 species